rnacentral:rRNA from 1 species
AACGAACGCUGGCGGCAUGCUUAACACAUGCAAGUCGCACGAGAAGUAAUUCUAGUGGCGCACGGGUGAGUAACACGUGGGAAUCUGCCCUAAAGUCGUGGAUAACUACUGGAAACGGUAGCUAAUACAGGAUGUGCUGGAAACAGUAAAGUAGCAAUAUGCUUUAGGAUGAGCCCGCGGUUGAUUAGCUAGUUGGUAGGGUAAGAGCUUACCAAGGCAAUGAUCAAUAGCUGUUCUGAGAGGAAGAUCAGCCACACUGGGACUGGGACACGGCCCAGACUCCUACGGGAGGCAGCAGGGGGGAAUUGUGGACAAUGGGGGCAACCCUGAUCCAGCAAUGCCGCGUGAGUGAAGAAGGCCUUCGGGUUGUAAAGCUCUUUUACCGAUGAAGAUGAUGACGGUAGUCGGAGAAUAAGUUCCGGCAAACUUCGUGCCAGCAGCCGCGGUAA